GGAAAUCUCACCAGGCCCGGACACUGGAAGGAUUGACAGAUUGAUAGCUCUUUCUUGUUAGCAAUAACAGGUCUGUGAUGCCCUUCUUAGUUGGUGGAGUGAUUUGUCUGGUUAAUUCCGUUAACGAACGAGACCUUAACCUGCUAACUAGUUUAUAUUCUCACAGAGUAUAAUACUUCUUAGAGGGACUAUAUAUGUUAAGUAUAUGGAAGUUUGAGGCAAUAA
rnacentral:rRNA from 1 species